AUAAUAUUCAGAAGCAAAAAGAGGAGAAGGAGUAAGACAUCAGAAGGAGGAGUCCAGCUGAUAAGGAAACCAGCUGCCUGGGUGUCAAAGAUGAUAAGAGAAAUGUGCCAAGGUUUCUAAAGGUACUAGCAUUUUAGAGCAAAACACAUCGCCAACCAGGAACUUCAGUAAUGGAAGAGACUGCGACUCAGCAAAGGGGACCCUUCCCUUUCUCUGCUCAGCGCUCUAGCGGCUGCAGCACCUUCCAAACCCCCCGACCGCUCACGUGCUGGAGUCACUAAAGUCUGCCUGCCAGUGACUAAGCUUGCCUUUUGUUCCUCCCAACUCCCAGUAUGAGCUUCCUCUGAACUUCCUCCUAACUAGAACUUUACAGCAGCUCACUUCCCUUUGGGGGACCAGUCUGGCCCCUUCGCCUGACACCUUCAUCCUGAAACCCCAGCUCUGUGAACAAGUUCAAAGACUUAUCUCGACUAGAAUAAUGAAAUCCCCUAUAAACGAGAAUAUACAUAGCUCUUGCUUCAGAAAAAAAAAAUGUUUUGCCCUCACACUACGAGUUUUAACAAACACUAGAUUCUAAGAGGUGAAACCAAAACAAAGAAAAGCCGCAGACAACAUGACCUACCAGCAAGAAGCACAAGGACAAGGCUGAGAAAUCCAACUCCCCAAUCUAUGUCUUUACUAGAAUCUUUGAACUUUAUGCUGCAAAAAGUAAAUUAAUCUGGCAUCCCAUGUGGGCACCAGUUCGAGUCCCAGCUGCUCCACUUCUGAUCCAGCUCUCUGCCAUGGCCUGGGAAAGCAGUCGAAGAUGGUCCAAGUUCUUGGUUCCCUGCACAUGGGAGACCCAAAAGAAGCUCCUGGCUCCUGGCUUCGGAUUGGCUCAGCUCCAGCCAUGGCGGCCAAUUGAGGAGUGAACCAGAGGAUGGAAGACCUCGCUCGCUCUCUGCUUUUCCUUCUCUCCUUGUGUAACUCUGACUUUCAAAUAAAUAAAUAAAUAAAUCUUUAAAAAAAAAAGAGAA